rnacentral:rRNA from 1 species
UACGGAGGGGACUAGCGUUGUUCGGAAUUACUGGGCGUAAAGGGCGGGUAGGCGGCCACUGCAAGUCAGUUGUGAAAUCUCUGGGCUUAACCCAGAAAGGUCAACUGAUACUGCGGGGCUAGAGUGCAGAAGGGGCAACUGGAAUUCUCGGUGUAGCGGUGAAAUGCGUAGAUAUCGAGAGGAACACCUGCGGCGAAGGCGGGUUGCUGGGCUGACACUGACGCUGAACUGCGAAAGCUAGGGGAGCGAACGGG